CCUACGGGUGGCAGCAGUGAGGAAUAUUGGUCAAUGGCCGGAAGGCUGAACCAGCCAAGCCGCGUGAAGGACGAAGGUGCCAAGCAUUGUAAACUUCUUUUGUCAAGGGACAAAAUCAGGCUCGAGAGCCUGACCGAGGGUACUUGAAGAAAAAGCAUCGGCUAACUCCGUGCCAGCAGCCGCGGUAAUACGGAGGAUGCGAGCGUUAUCCGGAUUUAUUGGGUUUAAAGGGUGCGCAGGCGGAGGUGCAAGUCAGCGGUCAAAUUGCGGGGCUCAACCCCGUACUGCCGUUGAAACUGCAUCCCUUGAGUGCGCGAGAAGUAUGCGGAAUGCGUGGUGUAGCGGUGAAAUGCAUAGAUAUUAGGAGGAACACCAGUGGCGAAGGCGGCUUACUGGACUGUAACUGACGUUGAGGCUCGAAAGCGUGGGGAGCAAACAGGAUUAGAUACCCCAGUAGUC
rnacentral:rRNA from 1 species